AGAUUCGUACCGGAGGCAGCAGUUAGGAUCUCGCAAAUUGGACGAAGUCUGACCGGAGGCAACGCCCGCGUGGAGGUGGAUGAAGUUUCGAUCCGUAAAGCUCUGUUGGUUAGGGAAGAACACGUAUCCGUUCGAAUAGGGGCGGUACCCUGACGGUACCUUAACCCAGAAAGGCCACGGCUAACUACGUGGCCAGCAGCCGCGGUAAUACGUAGGUGGCAAGCGUUGUCCGGGAAUUAUUGGGCGUAAAGGGCUCGCAGGCGGUUUCUUAAGUCUGAUGUGAAAGCCCCCGGCUCAACCCGGGGAGGGUCAUUGGAAACUGGGGAACUUGAGUGCAGAAGAGGAGAGUGGAAUUUCCACGUGUAGCGGUGAAAUGCGUAGAGAUGUGGAGGAACACCAGUGGCGAAGGCGACUCUCUGGUCUGUAACUGACGCUGAGGAGCGAAAGCGUGGGGAGCGAACAGGAUUAGAUACCCUGGUAGUCCACGCCGUAAACGAUGAGUGCUAAGUGUUAGGGGGUUUCCGCCCCUUAGUGCUGCAGCUAACGCAUUAAGCACUCCGCCUGGGGAGUACGGUCGCAAGACUGAAACUCAAAGGAAUUGACGGGGGCCCGCACAAGCGGUGGAGCAUGUGGUUUAAUUCGAAGCAACGCGAAGAACCUUACCAGGUCUUGACAUCCUCUGACAAUCCUAGAGAUAGGACGUCCCCUUCGGGGGCAGAGUGACAGGUGGUGCAUGGUUGUCGUCAGCUCGUGUCGUGAGAUGUUGGGUUAAGUCCCGCAACGAGCGCAACCCUUGAUCUUAGUUGCCAGCAUUCAGUUGGGCACUCUAAGGUGACUGCCGGUGACAAACCGGAGGAAGGUGGGGAUGACGUCAAAUCAUCAUGCCCCUUAUGACCUGGGCUACACACGUGCUACAAUGGACAGAACAAAGGGCAGCGAAACCGCGAGGUUAAGCCAAUCCCACAAAUCUGUUCUCAGUUCGGAUCGCAGUCUGCAACUCGACUGCGUGAAGCUGGAAUCGCUAGUAAUCGCGGAUCAGCAUGCCGCGGUGAAUACGUUCCCGGGCCUUGUACACACCGCCCGUCCCACCUACGCCGAGUUAUAGCAUCAUCAUGUCUCUGGAGAAGUCGUAACAAGGUAACCAUGCUAGAGUAACG
rnacentral:rRNA from 1 species